GACGAACGCUGGCGGCGUGCCUAAUACAUGCAAGUAGAACGCUGAAGAGAGGAGCUUGCUCUUCUUGGAUGAGUUGCGAACGGGUGAGUAACGCGUAGGUAACCUGCCUUGUAGCGGGGGAUAACUAUUGGAAACGAUAGCUAAUACCGCAUAACAAUGGAUGACACAUGUCAUUUAUUUGAAAGGGGCAAUUGCUCCACUACAAGAUGGACCUGCGUUGUAUUAGCUAGUAGGUGAGGUAAUGGCUCACCUAGGCGACGAUACAUAGCCGACCUGAGAGGGUGAUCGGCCACACUGGGCCUGGGACACGGCCCAGACUCCUACGGGAGGCAGCAGUAGGGAAUCUUCGGCAAUGGGGGCAACCCUGACCGAGCAACGCCGCGUGAGUGAAGAAGGUUUUCGGAUCGUAAAGCUCUGUUGUAAGUCAAGAACGGGUGUGAGAGUGGAAAGUUCACACUGUGACGGUAGCUGACCAGAAAGGGACGGCUAACUACGUG
rnacentral:rRNA from 1 species